rnacentral:rRNA from 1 species
GACGAACGCUGGCGGCGUGCUUAACACAUGCAAGUCGAACGGAAAGGCCCUGCUUUUGUGGGGUGCUCGAGUGGCGAACGGGUGAGUAACACGUGAGUAACCUGCCCUUGACUUUGGGAUAACUUCAGGAAACUGGGGCUAAUACCGGAUAGGAGCUCCUGCUGCAUGGUGGGGGUUGGAAAGUUUCGGCGGUUGGGGAUGGACUCGCGGCUUAUCAGCUUGUUGGUGUGGUAGUGGCUUACCAAGGCUUUGACGGGUAGCCGGCCUGAGAGGGUGACCGGCCACAUUGGGACUGAGAUACGGCCCAGACCCCUACGGGAGGCAGCAGUGGGGAAUAUUGCACAAUGGGCGGAAGCCUGAUGCAGCAACGCCGCGUGCGGGAUGACGGCCUUCGGGUUGUAAACCGCUUUCGCCUGUGACGAAGCGUGAGUGACGGUAAUGGGUAAAGAAGCACCGGCUAACUACGUG